rnacentral:misc_RNA from 1 species
UCAAACUUGGUCAUUUAGAGGAAGUAAAAGUCGUAACAAGGUUUCCGUAGGUGAACCUGCGGAAGGAUCAUUAUCGAGUAUUGACUGGGUUGUAGCUGGCCUUCCGAGGCAUGUGCACGCCCUGCUCAUCCGCUCUACACCUGUGCACUUACUGUGGGCUACAGACAGUGAAGCGAGUCCUUGCGGUCUUGUGAAGCGUCUGUGCUCGCGUUUAUUACAAACUCUUAAAAGUAUUAGAACGUGUAUUGCGAUGUAACGCAUCUAUAUACAACUUUCAGCAACGGAUCUCUUGGCUCUCGCAUCGAUGAAGAACGCAGC